rnacentral:tRNA from 1 species
UUUAGGAUCUUAUAAAAUAGGUUUACCCUAUAAAUAACUAAGUAAGAAAGAGAUCUAAUUACUUUGUGAUUUUA